rnacentral:lncRNA from 1 species
ACAGAAGGAGCUCUGUGUAAAUUUGUUGAAUUAAGAAAUGAAAGCUGGCUGGGCACAGUGGCUAAUGCCUGAAGCCCACCUCUGAGGUCUGCCAGCCUGGGUACCCAUCGGCUCUCAGGUGCGCCCCCUGAGGGUGCAGGACUGCAGCGCGGCCGCACGGGGGCAGCAGACACCGGGGCGCGCCUGGGCGCCCCGCGCUAGUGGGUGGAGAGUUCCCAAAGACUCGCUUGGUCCCCAAGCCCUGCGAGGCCGGUUUCCCGGUAACA